rnacentral:rRNA from 2 species
UAGGGAAUCUUCGGCAAUGGGGGGAACCCUGACCGAGCAACGCCGCGUGAGUGAAGAAGGUUUUCGGAUCGUAAAGCUCUGUUGUUAAGGAAGAACGAGUGUGAGAAUGGAAAGUUCAUGCUGUGACGGUACUUAACCAGAAAGGGACGGCUAACUACGUGCCAGCAGCCGCGGUAAUACGUAGGUCCCGAGCGUUGUCCGGAUUUAUUGGGCGUAAAGCGAGCGCAGGCGGUUAGAAAAGUCUGAAGUGAAAGGCAGUGGCUCAACCAUUGUAGGCUUUGGAAACUGUUUAACUUGAGUGCAGAAGGGGAGAGUGGAAUUCAAUGUGUAGCGGUGAAAUGCGUAGAUAUAUGGAGGAACACCGGUGGCGAAAGCGGCUCUCUGGUCUGUAACUGACGCUGAGGCUCGAAAGCGUGGGGAGCGAACAGG